AUGCCGAACUCAGAAGUGAAACGCCGUAGCGCCGAUGGUAGUGUGGGGUCUCCCCAUGUGAGAGUAGGGAACUGCCAGGC
rnacentral:rRNA from 1 species